GAUGAAGAACGCAGCGAAAUGCGAUAAGUAAUGUGAAUUGCAGAAUUCAGUGAAUCAUCGAAUCUUUGAACGCACAUUGCGCCCGCCAGUAUUCUGGCGGGCAUGCCUGUUCGAGCGUCAUUUCAACCCUCAAGCCCAGCUUGGUGUUGGGGAUCGGCACAGGCGCCCUCGGGCGCCCGCCGUCCCCUAAAUCUAGUGGCGGUCCCGCUGCAGCCUCCUCUGCGUAGUAGUUUUCUCCUCGCAAGGGCAGCUCGGUGGCGACCUCGACGUAAAACCCCCAACUUCUGAAAGGUUGACCUCGAAUCAGGUAGGACUACCCGCUGAACUUAAGCAUAUCAAUAAGCGGAGGA
rnacentral:misc_RNA from 1 species